UAACACGUGGGUAACCUGCCUGUAAGACUGGGAUAACUCCGGGAAACCGGAGCUAAUACCGGAUAGUUCCUUGAACCGCAUGGUUCAAGGAUGAAAGACGGUUUCGGCUGUCACUUACAGAUGGACCCGCGGCGCAUUAGCUAGUUGGUGAGGUAACGGCUCACCAAGGCGACGAUGCGUAGCCGACCUGAGAGGGUGAUCGGCCACACUGGGACUGAGACACGGCCCAGACUCCUACGGGAGGCAGCAGUAGGGAAUCUUCCGCAAUGGACGAAAGUCUGACGGAGCAACGCCGCGUGAGUGAUGAAGGUUUUCGGAUCGUAAAGCUCUGUUGUUAGGGAAGAACAAGUGCAAGAGUAACUGCUUGCACCUUGACGGUACCUAACCAGAAAGCCACGGCUAACUACGUGCCAGCAGCCGCGGUAAUACGUAGGUGGCAAGCGUUGUCCGGAAUUAUUGGGCGUAAAGGGCUCGCAGGCGGUUUCUUAAGUCUGAUGUGAAAGCCC
rnacentral:rRNA from 1 species